UGGGGAAUUUUGGACAAUGGGCGAAAGCCUGAUCCAGCAAUGCCGCGUGUGUGAAGAAGGCCUUCGGGUUGUAAAGCACUUUUGUCCGGAAAGAAAUCCUUGGCUCUAAUACAGUCGGGGGAUGACGGUACCGGAAGAAUAAGCACCGGCGAACUACGUGCCAGCAGCCGCGGUAAUACGUAGGGUGCAAGCGUUAAUCGGAAUUACUGGGCGUAAAGCGUGCGCAGGCGGUUUGCUAAGACCGAUGUGAAAUCCCCGGGCUCAACCUGGGAACUGCAUUGGUGACUGGCAGGCUAGAGUAUGGCAGAGGGGGGUAGAAUUCCACGUGUAGCAGUGAAAUGCGUAGAGAUGUGGAGGAAUACCGAUGGCGAAGGCAGCCCCCUGGGCCAAUACUGACGCUCAUGCACGAAAGCGUGGGGAGCAAACAGGAUUAGAUACCCUGGUAGUCCACGCCCUAAACGAUGUCAACUAGUUGUUGGGGAUUCAUUUCCUUAGUAACGUAGCUAACGCGUGAAGUUGACCGCCUGGGGGAGUACGGUCGCAAGAUUAAAACUCAAAGGAAUUGACGGGGUCAUAGCUGUUUCCU
rnacentral:rRNA from 1 species